rnacentral:lncRNA from 1 species
GGAAUCAUUAGGAAUAAAAAGAAAUUCUCAGUUAGUGUGACACACAUCUGAGCUGGCUACUAAGGGAAUAAAUAGCUUCUAGAAGAUUUCAUCCAUGGCGGUAUUCGGCAGGAUCCGAUUACAUUUAAAUGCUAAUGCACAUCCUGCAGCAUUCUGAUUCACCGGAGGACUAAUGUUGCUGAUAGGCACGCAGAUAGCCUGGACGGAUAUUACAUUCUGAGCAACAGCAGAGCAAAACCCUCCCAACCUUCAGUUCCUCCAAAACGCCCAUAAACUGGCUGAGCUAGGAAAUAGCCACAAAAGAAGAGAAAUGCUGGUAUCAGCAGGAGUGACAUGAGCAAACGCUUGAAACAAAUCUGUGCAACGGGCUUGCCCUCUGCGCUGCUGUCAUUGCCCUGGGAAGGCAUGCCGUGAGAAGCAGCUGCCCCAGCAGCCCUGACCCCAGAAUGAACGUCUGUGGAGCAGAGCCGCCCCAGCUGACUCGCAGCCCCACAGUUGAGGCAGAGCUGCCUGGUAUAAGGCCUACGGCUGUACGCCACGGCGUGGUUCCACACAACGAACUUCUCCCAAAUAAGAAGAGUGAUAAAACCCUCCCAGAUGUCAGAUGCUCACUGUGCUACAUCUCCUACUGCAUCGUACCCCCUGCUUCCCAAUUCCUCGCACAGAGCCAAUACAGCACACAACACAAAAUGUUCGCUCAGUCUAUCUUUGUUAGCUAUCUACUGAUAAUACAGAGUUUCUGAUUGCCAUUUAUAUAGAGAGAGAUAAAAAAUAGAAAACCAAUUUUGACAUUCUCUUGAGUCAACAGGACCCAGGGGCCUCCUAGGUUCCUGAAUGCGGAAUGUAAAAUAUUAGUGAUGCUCAAAUAAGCAACUUGCUUCUUAGAGUAGCAGGCAGAAUUCCGUAGGAGUGGCAGCGAGACCUAACUAGAGAAGUCUGACAUGGAGGAUUUAAUUACACGCCUUUUGUGAGUGUGAAGUAGACGUUGUGUGUGGUCCCACAACCACGCAACCGCAUCUGUGCAUCCCAGGCAGAGCCAGUGAACCCAAACGUCUUCAGGUUGAAACUGAAGCAAGAAGUGUAAGGAAAUUGAAAAUUCUUAAGCAUCAUAAAAACAUCCUCUUGCUCUUGUUCCAGUUCUAACCAGUCAAUCAACCAGCAUUCACCAGUCUUCAUGUCAGUCCCCAGCACUAGGGCUGCCCCUAAAGCCGACAGGGCCUGUGCCAAGAGCAGAGAUAGGGGUUCACGUAUCAUAUGUCUAAAUAGUCAAAAGUUAUAAAUCAAGCUAACAAACUACAAAAUAACAUAUAUUCUAUCUUACUACCUUGACAAAUAUACUUUCACAGAAACAAAUAGAACAAUGACGACAAAAUGGAAAGAUGUAUAUAAGGCUAUGAUUUUUAUACGACUAAAUUUUAAAUGAAAAAUUUAAAUAUUUUGCUCAUGUUUGUGUGUUCUGUUG